CAAAUUUGGCCAUUUUUUUUAAAAAAAGUAGCGCAACCAAAAUAUCACCAAGGGGCCUGUAUCCCAGGAACCCAUCUUCGACAACAACUAUACUAUUGUAUACGAAAACAUAAAUAUUAAGAGUUUUUCCUCGAAAAAAAUGCCCGAACGAUGCGUUGUUUAUGAGUGUUCUAACACUGCAGACACAAAGAAUGGUAUAUUUCUAUAUCAGAUACCUUUUUGGAGUGACAAUUCGACCGUAGUGGCAAAACGAAAGAAAAUAUGGGUGAACUUCAUUCGACGCAGAAGAGACAAAUGGACGCCAACACGUUCAUCAGCUGUAUGCUCAAAGCACUUCACCGAAGACUGUUUUGAAUACGGUUCUUCUACAGUUCCUACAUACAAGACCCCCAGACUGAAAAGGGAUGAUAUUGGAGUUUCUGUGU